rnacentral:tRNA from 1 species
GGGGUUGUGGCUCAGUGGGAGAGUGCUUUCCUCAAACGUGUGAGGCUCUGGGUUCAAUCCCCAGCACCA